UAGGGAAUUUUCCGCAAUGGGCGCAAGCCUGACGGAGCAAUGCCGCGUGAGGGAAGAAGGCCUUCGGGUCGUAAACCUCUUUCGUUUGGGAAGAAAGUGGGUGGCAAGAAACGGCCAUUCAUUGACGGUACCGGAGGAAGAAGCCCCGGCUAAUUACGUGCCAGCAGCCGCGGUAAUACGUAAGGGGCAAGCGUUGUCCGGAAUCACUGGGCGUAAAGGGCGCGUAGGCGGUUGGAUAAGUCGGGAGUGAAAGCGCUGGGCUCAACCCAGCAACGGCUCUCGAGACUGUUCAGCUAGAGGAUCCUAGGGGAUGCUGGAAUUCCAGGUGUAGCGGUGAAAUGCGUAGAUAUCUGGGAGAACACCCGUGGCGAAGGCGGGCAUCUGGGGGAUUCCUGACGCUGAGGCGCGAAAGCUAGGGGAGCGAACGGG
rnacentral:rRNA from 1 species